UACGAAGGGGCUAGCGUUGCUCGGAAUCACUGGGCGUAAAGCGCACGUAGGCGGAUUGUUAAGUCAGGGGUGAAAUCCUGGAGCUCAACUCCAGAACUGCCUUUGAUACUGGCGAUCUCGAGUCCGGAGAGGUGAGUGGAACUGCGAGUGUAGAGGUGAAAAUUCGUAGAUAUCGCAAGAACACCAGUGGCGAAGGCGGCUCACUGGCCCGGUCUGACGCUGA
rnacentral:rRNA from 1 species